UGCAAGUCGAACGGAGCUUAGAGAGCUUGCUUUUUAAGCUUAGUGGCGAACGGGUGAGUAACGCGUGAGUAACCUGCCCUAGAGUGGGGGACAACAGUUGGAAACGACUGCUAAUACCGCAUAAGCCCACGGUACCGCAUGGUACUGAGGGAGAAGGAUUUAUUCGCUUUAGGAUGGACUCGCGUCCAAUUAGCUAGUUGGUGAGGUAACGGCCCACCAAGGCGACGAUUGGUAGCCGGACUGAGAGGUUGAACGGCCACAUUGGGACUGAGACACGGCCCAGACUCCUACGGGAGGCAGCAGUGGGGGAUAUUGCACAAUGGGGGAAACCCUGAUGCAGCGACGCCGCGUGGAGGAAGAAGGUUUUCGGAUUGUAAACUCCUGUCGUUAGGGACGAUAAUGACGGUACCUAACAAGAAAGCACCGGCUAACUACGUGCCAGCAGCCGCGGUAAAACGUAGGGUGCAAGCGUUGUCCGGAAUUACUGGGUGUAAAGGGAGCGCAGGCGGGAAGACAAGUUGGAAGUGAAAACCAUGGGCUCAACCCAUGAAUUGCUUUCAAAACUGUUUUUCUUGAGUAGUGCAGAGGUAGAUGGAAUUCCCGGUGUAGCGGUGGAAUGCGUAGAUAUCGGGAGGAACACCAGUGGCGAAGGCGGUCUACUGGGCACCAACUGACGCUGAGGCUCGAAAGCAUGGGUAGCAAACAGGAUUAGAUACCCUGGUAGUCCAUG
rnacentral:rRNA from 1 species